rnacentral:lncRNA from 1 species
CAUAGUAGCGCCUACAAGACUGAGGCAAUACUUCAAGCAUUGCGCUUGCACAACGGAGCGCGCUUUAAUCUCCAAAGCCAAAGCUUGAGAUAAAAACUGAGCGAUUCAAUGUUUAUUCUUCUUAUUUUCAGGGGCAAAUCAAAAACCGAGCUUCCCUAUCGACGUCGUUUGUACCUUCGACGAUCAUUAUUGCGGGGUCACCCCCAAGGCAAUUGGAAAUGGAGACCAAAGUCCAAAGAAGGGUAUCUGCAGUGGGCUAUUAAAGGUCAGAAUAUACCUGCUUCGAUCGAGGAACAUGUUUGGAGCGUCGCUUUUUAUGGACUGAGCCCUCUCGACAAACAUCGUGGUCCCGAAGGAUGUGUCAGCUUCAAAUAUUUUCUCAGGAAAUCCUAUUUUGCAAAAGGAACCCAUCAAAUCAAAGUUAGUAUUCAAAUUAGAACGUUUCGCAUUGAACUUGAUGCAUCUCAUAAAAAACUAGCACAAAGCUUACAAUUACUGGGUAUAUCAAAAAAAGAAGAAUGGAGCGUCAUAGAUUUGCGAUUUAAAGAUAUUUUUUUUUCGGAAGUGAAAUUUUGUGGAAAACACGAUGGUGCUACUGAGUCUCUGAAACAAAUUUCCAAGCUAAAAACAAGCUGACAUCUCCGGCCCUCAGAUGCCGGAUAAGGAUGCGAUUCAAAGUUCUCUCGAAUAGUUUAUCUAUAUUAAAUUUAAUUGACCGGAGGAAACACUCUCUAUUCUUACAAACUGAAAUAAUGUGAAGCAAUUGUCGCCUACGUUUUUAUUAUUAUCUUACGUUUGAAGAAAAAAUAGAACAGCAUGUUCAAAUAAUCAAUAAUUUCCUACAUUUAUAUGAUAUUCUACGGAAACUGCUUCGCAAAGAGAAAACUUCACAUUUAGAUAGCCUCUCAGCCCACACGUGUUUUUGUAGAAAUAUACUGAUUAGACUUUCGAAAAGUGUCAUAUUUUUGUUUCGAAUAAAUGAGUAAACCGUACACCAUCUUACAUUGAAUUGAUCCGAAG